CACUUGACCCGCGGGGCCGCCGAGGCGGGAAUCUGUGAGUGUGCGCGGGCGCGGGGUGCCGCGGUCGGCGUUCCCCGGGCAGCCCCGGGCCGGUCCCCACCCCCGCUCUCGCCCGCCAGCCGGGAAGGAAGUUGGUGUAGGAGGAAGGGUUACAGCCAGAGCCUUCGCUCCCACCUGGAGACUCCCGACCGCGAGACCCGCGGGUCCUCACGUCCCGCGCUCGCCUUGCGCUGCUAAACCUUGCUGGGCCUCGGGUUCUGGGUCCCUGGUGUUGAGAAAAAAAACAUUUGCAAAUAUGUCCCGGAUCGAAAAGAUGAGCAUUCUGGGCGUGCGGAGUUUUGGCAUAGAGGACAAAGAUAAGCAAAUUAUCACUUUUUUCAGUCCUCUCACAAUUUUGGUUGGACCCAAUGGGGCGGGGAAGACGACCAUCAUUGAAUGUCUGAAAUAUGUUUGUACUGGAGAUUUCCCUCCUGGAACCAAAGGAAACACAUUUGUUCACGAUCCUAAGGUUGCUCAAGAAACAGAUGUUAGAGCCCAGAUUCGUCUGCAGUUUCGUGAUGUCAAUGGAGAACUUAUAGCUGUGCAGAGGUCUAUGGUGUGUACUCAGAAAAGCAAAAAGACAGAAUUUAAAACGUUGGAAGGAGUCAUUACUAGAACAAAGCACGGUGAAAAGGUCAGUCUCAGCAGUAAGUGUGCAGAAAUCGACCGAGAGAUGAUAAGCUCCCUUGGGGUUUCCAAGUCUGUGCUAAAUAAUGUCAUUUUCUGUCACCAAGAAGAGUCUAAUUGGCCUUUAAGUGAAGGAAAGGCUUUGAAGCAAAAAUUUGAUGAGAUUUUUUCAGCAACAAGGUACAUUAAAGCCUUGGAAACACUUCGGCAGGUGCGUCAGACACAAGCUCAAAAAGUAAAGGAAUGUCAGACAGAACUAAAAUAUUUGAAACAAAAUAAGGAAAAGGCUUGUGAAAUUCGUGAUCAGAUAACUAGUAAGGAAGCCCAGUUAACAUCAUCAAAGGAAAUUGUCAAAUCCUAUGAGAAUGAACUUGAUCCACUGAAGAAUCGUCUAAAAGAAAUUGAACAAAAUCUCUCUAAAAUAAUGAGACUUGACAAUGAAAUUAAAGCUUUGGAGAGCCGAAAGAAGCAAAUGGAGAAAGAUAAUGGUGAACUGGAACAGAAAAUGGAAAAGGUUUUUCAAGGGACUGAUGAGCAACUAAAUGAUUUAUAUCACAAUCACCAGAGAACAGUAAGGGAGAAAGAAAGGAGAUUAGUAGACUGUCAGCGUGAACUGGAAAAAUUAAAUAAAGAAUCUAGGCUUCUCAAUCAAGAAAAAUCAGAACUACUUGUUGAACAGGGUCGUCUACAGCUACAAGCAGAUCGCCAUCAAGAACAUAUCCGAGCUAGAGAUUCAUUAAUUCAGUCUUUGGCAACACAGCUGGAAUUGGAUGGCUUUGAGCGUGGCCCAUUCAGUGAAAGACACAUUAAAAAUUUUCACAAACUUGUGAGAGAGAGGCAAGAAAGGGAAGCUGAAAUUGCCAGCCAACUGAUGAAUGACUUUGCAGAAAAAGAGAAUAUGAAGCAAAAACAAAUAGAUGAGAUAAGGGAUAAGAAGAUUGGACUGGGAAGAAUAAUUGAGCUAAAAUCAGAAAUCCUGAAUAAGAAGGAGAAUGAGCUGAAAAAUGUAAAGUAUGAAUUACAGCAGUUGGAAGGAUCUUCAGACAGGAUUCUUGAACUGGACCGGGAACUCACAAAAGCUGAACAUGAGCUAAGUAAAGCUGAGAAAAACAGCAGUGUAGAAACUCUAAAAACGGAAGUAAUAAGCCUUCAAAAUGAGAAAGCAGACCUAGACAGGACGCUGCGUAAAUUGGACCAGGAGAUGGAACAAUUAAACCAUCAUACAACAGCACGCACCCAGAUGGAGAUGCUGACCAAAGAUAAAGCUGACAAAGAUGAACAAAUCAGAAAAAUAAAAUCCAGGCACAGUGAUGAAUUAACUUCAUUGUUAGGGUAUUUUCCCAACAAAAAACAGCUUGAAGACUGGCUUCAUAGUAAAUCAAAAGAAAUUAAUCAUACCAGGGACAGACUUGCCAAACUGAACAAGGAACUAGCUUCAGCUGAGCAAAAUAAAAAUCAUAUAAAUAAUGAGCUAAAAAGGAAGGAAGAGCAGUUGUCCAGUUAUGAAGACAAACUGUUUGAUGUUUGUGGUAGCCAAGAUUUUGAAAGUGAUUUAGACAGGCUUAAAGAAGAAAUUGAAAAAUCCUCAAAACAACGAGCCAUGCUUGCUGGAGCCACAGCAGUUUACUCCCAGUUCAUUACUCAGCUAACAGAUGAAAACCAAUCAUGUUGCCCCGUCUGUCAGAGAGUUUUUCAGACAGAAGCUGAAUUACAAGAAGUCAUCAGUGAUUUGCAGUCGAAACUGCGGCUUGCUCCUGAUAAACUCAAGUCAACAGAAUCAGAGCUAAAGAAAAAAGAAAAGCGGCGUGAUGAAAUGCUGGGCCUUGUGCCCAUGAGGCAAAACAUAGUUGAUUUGAAGGAGAAGGAAAUGCCAGAAUUACGGAACAAACUGCAGAAUGUCAAUAGAGAGAUACAGCACCUAAAGAAUGAUAUAGAAGAACAGGAAACACUCUUGGGGACAAUAAUGCCUGAAGAGGAAAGUGCUAAAGCAUGUCUGACAGAUGUUACAAUUAUGGAGAGGUUCCAGAUGGAACUUAAAGAUGUUGAAAGAAAAAUUGCACAACAAGCAGCUAAGCUACAAGGACUAGACUUGGAUAGAACUGUUCAACAAGUAAACCAAGAAAAACAAGAAAAACAACACAAAUUAGAUACAGUUUCCAGUAAAAUUGAAUUGAAUCGUAAGCUUAUACAGGACCAGCAGGAAGAGAUUCAACACCUAAAAAGUACAACAAAUGAACUUAAAUCAGAGAAAUUUCAGAUAUCCACUAAUUUACAACGUCGUCAGCAACUGGAGGAGCAGACUGUGGAAUUAUCCACUGAAGUUCAAUCCUUAAGCAGAGAGAUAAAGGAUGCUAAAGAGCAGGUCAGCCCUUUGGAAACAACAUUAAAAAAGUACCAGCAGGAAAAAGAAGAAUUAAUCAACAAAAAAAAUACAAACAGCAAAAUAGCACAUGAUAAAAUCAGUGAUAUCAAAGAGAAGGUUAAAAAUAUUCAUGGUUAUGUGAAAGACAUUGACAAUUAUAUUCAAGAUGGGAAAGAUGAUUAUAAGAAGCAAAAAGAAACUGAACUUAAUAAAGUAAUGGUUCAACUAAGUGAAUGCGAGAAACACAAAGAAAAUAUAAAUAAAGAAAUGGGAAUCAUGAGACAAGAUAUUGAUACACAGAAGAUACAAGAAAGAUGGUUACAGGAUAACCUUACUUUAAGAAAAAGAAACGAGGAACUAAAAGAAGUUGAAGAAGAAAGAAAACAACAUUUGAAGGAAAUGGGUCAAAUGCAGGUUUUACAAAUGAAAAAUGAGCAUCAGAAGUUGGAAGAAAAAAUAGAAAAUAUGAAAAGAAAUCAUAGUUUGGCAAUAGGGCGACAGAAAGGUUAUGAGGAAGAAAUUCUUCAUUUUAAGAAAGAACUUCGAGAACCUCAAUUUCGGGAUGCUGAGGAAAAGUAUAGGGAAAUGAUGAUUGUUAUGAGAACAACAGAGCUUGUGAACAAGGAUCUGGACAUCUAUUACAAGACCCUUGACCAAGCGAUAAUGAAAUUCCACAGUAUGAAAAUGGAAGAAAUCAACAAAAUCAUUCGUGACCUUUGGCGAAGUACCUAUCGCGGACAAGAUAUUGAAUACAUAGAAAUUCGGUCUGAUGCUGAUGAAAAUGUAUCUGCUUCUGAUAAAAGGCGGAAUUACAACUACAGAGUGGUGAUGCUAAAGGGAGACACAGCCUUGGAUAUGCGAGGACGAUGCAGUGCUGGACAAAAGGCAGAUUGGUGAUUUCAGUCUCACCAAGGCCUUUCUCUGUUGUUUGAGGAAUUUUGGACUGAACAAGAUUCUUCUGCCUUUUCAUGGCAAUGGGAGUGGUCACCAGCAAGUGGCACAUGUGUCAGCUGGGAGAACAAAGUCCCUUCCUGCUUGCUGGCCGCCUUGCCUGUCUCCACUGUCUGUGCCAGUUAACCGCACACAGGGAGCAGCCUCUGGGUUGAUCCCCUGAGCUGCCGUGGGCUGGGCGGCCCUCACAAUAGCCUAGGGCAUUGGCAGGAGUUGCAGGCGAGUGGUGCAUGUUCUGCCAUAAGAACAAAGCCCCUUCAUGCUUUCCGGACUCUGCGCCUGUGUCCUCUGUCUAUGCCAGUCAGCCGUGCGCAGGGAGCAGCCUCUGGGCCUGGGCCGGUUAGCCGUGCGCAGGGAGAAGCCUGUGUGUUAAGCUGUGUGGUUGCUGUAGGCGGGGCUGCUACCCGGCUGUUCGCAGCAAUGGCAGGUCAGCCAGUUUGCUUACAGUGCCGGCAGCGGGGAAGGAACGGCAGGCUGCUUAUCACAGUGAGGGGCCUCAGAGCUGCGUUGCCAAACGGAGUUAGGGCGCCUGAAGUUCCUUAAAGUUCCCACCCUGCUGGGCUGAGUGUGCCAGGACGAUUUUGUCCAUCUGUUAAACCCUUGUCCCUUUAAGACUUUAAAAGCACCUGCUUUUCUUUUGUCCCAGGGCAGCUGGCUGUGGGAACCUGUUCGCAGUCUUAGGCUCAAAUUUUGAUUUUCCGCUCCUCUAAUAUCCAGAGCACCCUGCAAUGUGUGUCUGUGCGCCCGGGGCAGAUUACUUGGGCUGGUUAUUUAGCAGUCCUGUGCUUCCAGUCCCUCCCCACUCUGAUUCUUUUCUUCCUGCUGGUGGGCUGGGUGGGGGGAGUGCUUGGGUCCCCCCAGGUCACGGCUUUGUAUCUUACCCUUUUCCAUGAGAUGUUGGGUUCUCGCAGAUGUAGCCUGGCUUGUGUACUGUAUUUUCUGGUCACUCAUUUAGGAAUAGUUGUAUUUGCUGUAUUUUCAAAAUACAUAUGGUUUUGGGAGAUUUCCACCGCCCUGCUCAAGCCACCAUCUUUUCCUUCUCUGAUUGCAAGUUUUAUAGCUGAUGUGAUUUGUGUGUCAAGGGGAGUCAGCCUUGCUUUCAGCAUUUGAUUUCAUUGCAAAUGAUAGACCAAGAUAAUGUAACUGAUGGUUCAUAUUCUGAAAGGGGGUGAGUGGGCACCAUGCCAGGCUCCCCAAACAAAAGAGUAGUGGUUUGUCUGAGGUCAUACCCUGUGACUUUGCCCCACCUUUCCCUUCUGCAGACAUUCUGCCAGGUCUGCAUGAAUGAGAAAAAGGUCUGUGCAGUGCAGCUCAGCUCCGGUGUUUCUUUGCAGGUGUUAGCCUCCCUCAUCAUCCGCCUGGCCCUGGCCGAGACGUUCUGCUUGAACUGUGGCAUCCUUGCUCUGGAUGAGCCGACGACGAAUCUUGACCGAGAAAACAUUGAAUCUCUUGCACAUGCUCUCGUUGAGAUAAUAAAAAGUCGCUCACAGCAGCGUAACUUCCAGCUUCUGGUAAUCACUCAUGAUGAAGAUUUUGUGGAACUCUUAGGGCGUUCUGAAUACGUGGAGAAAUUCUACAGAAUUAAGAAGAACUUUGAUCAGUGCUCAGAAAUCGUGAAAUGCAGUGUUAGCUCCCUUGGAUCUUAUGUCCAUUAAAAAUCGUCAAGAUUUAAAUGUCUUAAAAACACACUUCCUUGGGCAACUGCUUAUUUCUGGUAUCAGCUGAAUCAAUAAAAAAUAUAUUCUAUCAAAGGAGCUUCAUGUCUAGGACUA